UGCUGGCUAUAUAUUGCCUCUGAUCCCUCCUGUCUGGUGCAAGUUCGUUGUACUCCCAUGUCUCGUUCUAGCAUUCCUUGUCAUCGCCUCGCCUGGUUCUCGACCCUCGCCUGCCUUUCGACCUCUCCUUCUGCCUGCCGCUCUUGGACACCUUUGCCUUAUUGGACUGACUUCCCGUGUACCGACCCUCACCAGCGUGUAGAACCUUACCUCGUGUCGUGCCUGCCAAUUCUGCCUUUGGGUCCUCCUUCCCACGUCCUGCCCCUGACAGAUUUAGUGUUCACUGACUGAUAUAAUUGCAACUUAAGCAAUCAAACACACAAUAUUAUUUAUCUGAUUACUAAUUAUAUUAUUACGAUUAUCGUUCACAUCCAGCAAGUGAGAUGUAACAUGGCCUAUAUCCACACGUUUAUAACACACCAUGGAGCCAUAGAGCUAUUGAGAUAGCAGAUAUAGCGUUAGCAAUAGUAUGUGCUUUAGCGUUAGCAUCGGCAAGAAUCAAGGGGAUUGUCUUGUUCUUUUUGGAAUAUCCGUUCCAUCAGGACCCGAAAGAAUAUAUUUCCUUUUCAAUCGGACUCGGCCCAUUUUCUCAAUUUGUCAGCAUUAGCUUGACUCAUUGACAGCUUCAAAAUGCUUAGCGCGAGACACGGAGGUCGCGCAUGUGCAAUGCUCAAGUGGGAACUGCGAUUCAGGUGAGAGGAGGACGGUUAAACAGCCAGCGAGACAAGAAGAAGGCGGUGAAACAUUUUCUUUAGCAAAAAAUGUCAAGAUAUAGGUUUGCCCUUGUUAGUUGGGCGAAGGGACCCGACAAAGCUAAAACCACCAUUGUUCCCAUCAGCUGGAUAAUUGAUUUUGACCCAGCUGAGACAAAUUAUAUUUUUUGGAAUGGCGGUCAAAAGCCUGCUAGUGGAUGGCAAACAUGCUUUUGUUUUCAGCUAGCAGCAAAACUUGGGUGAUGAAGAUACCAGUACUGGCAACAAAGCCACUGGCUCUGGAAAUCCACAACAGCCAAGGUUGCUGCACAAAGACAAGGCGAGAAGGAGAAGGAACUACUGUCAGAGGACAGUCAGGUCAGCCCUGAUCCAUCAGAAUCGUCAAGCCAGAGAAACAACUUUACCAGAGACCAGCAGAGCCAGAUCAAGGCCU